ACGCUCGACACCUACUGGAGGCAGCAGUAGGGAAUUUUCGGCAAUGGGGGGAACCCUGACCGAGCAACGCCGCGUGAAGGAAGAAGGAAUUCGUUCUGUAAACUUCUGUUAUAAAGGAAGAACGGCGGAUAUAGGGAAUGAUAUCCGAGUGACGGUACUUUAUGAGAAAGCCACGGCUAACUACGUGCCUGCAGCCGCGGUAAUCUGAGCGGGCUGGCAAGGC
rnacentral:rRNA from 1 species